rnacentral:hammerhead_ribozyme from 1 species
AUCCGGCUGACGAGUCCCAAAUAGAAUGAAACGCGAGUUUUGGAA